CUUGAAAAGUGCCUACCCCUGGCCUGGGAUGCUUCCUCCUGGGAUGCUCCCACUUGGAACCCAACUAUUGUGCUGCAGAAGUUUAACUUAACUGUGUAAGGAGGCCAAGAGGAGGCCCUGGCUGCCAGCCAGCAUCAACUUCCAGUGACGUGAGUGUGCCAUUCUGGAACUGGAUCCUGCAGCCUCGGUGGAGCAGCCUCAGCUGAUGCCAUGUGGAACAGAGAUGAACUGCCGCUGCCGAGCUCUGCCCACGUUGCAGAAUCAUGAGCAAAUAUGUUGUGGAUUGGCUGUAACUCUGCUCUGGGAUCCAGGCUGAAGGAGCAGGCUCUAUCUGGAACAUUACUAGUCUCCAGGCAGAAGAAAAAGAGACAAUGGAAUGGAUGAUUGAAUGGAUGAAUGAACUCCACAGGAAGAUGAGGAAAGCCUUUAUGGAUGGAGUGAGCUUGCAGCAGAGUCUCAAAGGGUGAGUAGAGUUUUCCAGGUAGGGAAGUGUGUGGGUGAGUAGUCCAGAUCGAGUCAAAGGUAUGGGAGCAAGGAACGGCCUGGUGCAUUCCAGAAGUGUUGAUAAUGUCACUGGCUGACUCGGAGGGUGUGAAGGGGAGGAGAAGGAGGGAAGGCUAGAGAGGGAAGGUAGAAAGGAAGUGGAGGCGAAAAAAGAUGCUGAAGGGCCUCCUGUACCUCCAGGAAGAGUUUGAAUGUUAUCAUUUGGGCAAUGGGAAGCUAUUCCUGGGUCUUCACAAGGGAAUCAGUUGGUGAGAACUGCUGUUUAGAAAGACAGCCCUGGCAGCAACUCAAGCGCUGGGAGAGGACAGAACCACCAGGGAAGAGGGUAUGGGGAAGAAGAGCAGCAGGCUGAGGACAGGCCCAGGACUGAAGAAUCAGGCACAGGAAGAAGAGUCCAUGGGGCAGGCUGUGAAAUGGACAAAGGAAAACCAGAGGUGCUUCCCAAGCAGGGGGCCUGGCCACCAGAGUCCCAAGCUACCAAGAUGUCAAGUAAAGAAGAACUGAAAGCCAACUGCUGGAUGCAGCAGUGAGUGGGGGUCACAGUGGCCUUUGCCAGAACUGUUCCAGUGGAGGAGUAGAGGAAGAGAGAAAACCACAGGAGCAGGCAUCGCAAGCUCAUGCUCCACCCACACGUCCCCUUUCUCCUUUAGUCCUGUGACCCAUGUGCUUGCUCUCUUUCUCUCUCAAAGGAGAUCCAAAUUUAAAAAUAUGGAGCCAAGGGAAUCAGUUCCUUUGCGAACACACUGAACGUUAGUUUUCUUCUUCUCUUUUGCAAAAACUUCUUAUUUCACAAAAUACUCAAACAAAUAGACAAAGUACAGUGAAGUCCAGGUAGAUAUCAUCCACCUUCAGCAAUGAUCAAUCCAUGGCCAAUCUUUCAUCUCAACACUCGUAUCCUCAUUCUUGUGGAGCAAAUGCCAGACAUUCUUUCAUCCAUCAGUAUGUCAAUAUGUAUCUCUGAAAUAGAAGGACUUUUUAUAAAACAUAAUCAUAAUAUAAUUAAUAUU
rnacentral:lncRNA from 1 species